rnacentral:tRNA from 3 species
GGCCCCGUCGUCUAGCCCGGUUCAGGACGCCGGCCUCUCAAGCCGGAGGUCGCGGGUUCAAAUCCCGCCGGGGCCACCA